GACGAACGCUGGCGGCGUGCUUAACACAUGCAAGUCGAACGGAAAGGCCCUGCUUUUGUGUGGUGCUCGAGUGGCGAACGGGUGAGUAACACGUGAGUAACCUGCCCUUGACUUUGGGAUAACUUCAGGAAACUGGGGCUAAUACCGGAUAGGAGCUCCUGCUGCAUGGUGGGGGUUGGAAAGUUUCGGCGGUUGUGGAUGGACUCGCGGCUUAUCAGCUUGUUGGUGGGGUAGUGGCUUACCAAGGCUUUGACGGGUAGCCGGCCUGAGAGGGUGACCGGCCACAUUGGGACUGAGAUACGGCCCAGACUCCUACGGGAGGCAGCAGUGGGGAAUAUUGCACAAUGGGCGGAAGCCUGAUGCAGCAACGCCGCGUGCGGGAUGACGGCCUUCGGGUUGUAAACCGCUUUCGCCUGUGACGAAGCGUGAGUGACGGUAAUGGGUAAAGAAGCACCGGCUAACUACGUG
rnacentral:rRNA from 1 species